UACGGAGGGUGCGAGCGUUAUCCGGAUUUAUUGGGUUUAAAGGGUGCGUAGGCGGACUAAUAAGUCAGUGGUGAAAUCUUGCAGCUUAACUGUAAAACUGCCAUUGAUACUGUUAGUCUUGAAUUUAGUUGAGGUAGGCGGAAUGUGUUGUGUAGCGGUGAAAUGCAUAGAUAUAACACAGAACACCGAUUGCGAAGGCAGCUUACUAAGCUAUAAUUGACGCUGAUGCACGAAAGCGUGGGUAGCGAAC
rnacentral:rRNA from 1 species